GCCUCUAUAGCUCAGUGGCAGAGCACUGGUCUUGUAAACCAGGGGUCGGGAGUUCGAUCCUCCCUGGAGGCU
rnacentral:tRNA from 1 species